rnacentral:rRNA from 1 species
UACGGAGGGUGCAAGCGUUAUCCGGAUUCACUGGGUUUAAAGGGUGCGUAGGUGGAUUAGUAAGUCAGUGGUGAAAUCUCCGAGCUUAACUCGGAAACUGCCAUUGAUACUAUUAGUCUUGAAUUAUCUUGAGGUGAGCGGAAUAUGUCAUGUAGCGGUGAAAUGCUUAGAUAUGACAUAGAACACCAAUUGCGAAGGCAGCUCACUACGGAUAUAUUGACACUGAGGCACGAAAGCGUGGGGAUCAAACAGG